rnacentral:lncRNA from 1 species
UGUAAGAGGUAAGGAGUCUGUUCUGCUGGGGAGUUCUGCUAUCUUCCACACAUGGUUUCCAUCUUCUAAUUUAAAGCUAACCUUUGAAUGAGAGAAACUUCUGCUGAUGUCAAAUGACCACAAGGAUAUUAACAACUGGACUUGGAGCCUGUCGGCCGCUGUUGGAUACACCUCCUUUACCAAGGCGGCUUUCUUCACUACUGCCACUGACCUUGCAAACAGCUCCGACAAAGGUCGGAAUGGAUUCAUUGAUCAGCUAGACCGAGCAUAUGACAGUCUGUGCCUUAAUUGAAUCCCAAAAGGGGGCAGACUGGGUUUUUAUUACAGAGGCCAGCCGAUAGCACUCAUUAAAAGCUCCACAGACUGUGUGGUUUACUAAUUAGUUUAUUAUACAGACACCUUGACGAUGGGCAAAGUUGUCAUUUUGCCCUUUAUCGCACAGGGGAUGUUGUUAAAAGUUUAAUCAGCUAACACUGACCAAGUUAGCUUGGCAGGCUGUGGAUGGUCAUUACUGAGGUCACCCCUGCUGUAGCAAUUCUGACAGGGUCACAGCAUGAACUUACAAUAAAGAGAGUGUUACAUAAGGUAAGAGCGCACCUGAAAGGGACCCCAGAAAAGAGUUGUGCUCUGCGGGGAGUAUGAAACAGAUGGGCUGUUAGGACAAGUGAAUCCUUUUCAAGUUUACCUUCGCCUGCACUGUUUAACAUAUGCUUUCUUAAAAAGAUGAGGCAUACGACAGUCGUUUUGAUAUGUUCAUCAGAAAUAAGAUUGGGAACACGUUUUUCAUUUUGGCCAAAUAUAGGGUCACCUGAUAAAAAUGACUCUCCUGUGUUUUAUUUAAACCUUACGUAGUUCCAGAGAAGCAGAGGAGAUUAUGUUGGCCUGUUUAAACUUGCUCUAGAUAGAGCAAAGAAACAGUUACAGGCUAUUCUUAUUAUUAUUAUUUCUACUCAGAAAAUGAUUUUGAGCACUAGCCAAACCAAUAAAAAAUUAUCUAGUUUACCAACGUUGUCCCAUUUAUUCCGGGGAUUCUUUUUUCCUAAUGGGCUACUUUUUAGAAUAUAUAGUAUCUAAGAAAGAUUUUCUUCGUGUGUCUAAGGUUAUGCAGUGAGUGAAGUACAGGUAAUUUCACUUUAUGUAUUUGAAAAAGAAUCAGUAGAUGAAUGUAAUAUUAUAGUUAAAAUUUUUUGAGAAAUUCAAAAUAUAAUCUAUACAUAAAUAAAAUAUUCAUCUCUCUGUGUCAAUGUUUUGACUGCCAUGAAGAUUCUAGUCUGUGAUCUCAAUAGAUUUAGUCAUACAGUCAAUCAAUUUAAUUGUUAAGCUAGCCCAAAUAACAUUUUUCAAUCCACGAUUUCAAUUUUCUGGACAGAAACUUAGUAGAAUUGUACUUUACAAUGUAGCCAUUUAUGCAUUUUAAUAUUGAAUUUUUGCUCUAAUGGGUGAUCUACUGAGGUCAGUUUACAAAUUUAGAAAGAGGUAUCUGCAAUCUCUCUCUGUGUUGCCCUAGAAUAUUCAACUCUCUGUAAAUCUGCUUAAAUCUAAAGUUUAGACUGAGGUUAUACAAUAUAGAAAUUGUGCUAAUCCAGACCUGAUCAUUUGAAAUUGAUGCUUUUACUAGUGUGUGUAUAUAUAUAUAUACACACACGCACACACAUCUGUCUGUCUGUCAAUCUAUCUACCUACCUACCUGAGUUAUCAUAUCUAAAAUAGUACCUAAAGGCUUUUUGACAGUAAAUACAUACAGGGUAAAUGAAAUAAGAAUGUGCUCAAACUAUGUAUUUAUUUUUGAAACAACAAAGUUUUAUUUUGACUAUGUCAUGAAAAAGAAUAUGCAACCCUGAACAUCAUCAUUUACCCUGGAGAUUAAAAUAUAUUUUAAUAUAUUUGAGAUCAUAUUGAAGGUUUUAUGAAAAGUGAAGAAAUACUCUGCAUUGCAUUCAAACUGCAGCAGAAAUUUUAGUAAGCAUUGUGUAUUUUCCAGGUUGGAACUGAUCCAGGAAUCUAAACCUAAUAUUGAGGCUAACUGUAGGGUUUGUAAAAAGGAGGCAUCCUCAGGGGUUCACACUGGUGGUUCUGAGGAAGCUUCCUGUGAAGACAGAUUGUGCCCUCAAGUCCACACAGGCAAAUGCUUCAUCAUUAACUCACUUUGGAAAAAUAAAUAAACUAUUUUAAC